rnacentral:rRNA from 1 species
GACGAACGCUGGCGGCGUGCUUAACACAUGCAAGUCGAACGGAAAGGCCCUGCUUUUGUGGGGUGCUCGAGUGGCGAACGGGUGAGUAACACGUGAGUAACCUGCCCUUGACUUUGGGAUAACUUCAGGAAACUGGGGCUAAUACCGGAUAGGAGCUCCUGCUGCAUGGUGGGGGUUGGAAAGUUUCGGCGGUUGGGGAUGGACUCGCGGCUUAUCAGCUUGUUGGUGGGGUAGGGGCUUACCAAGGCUUUGACGGGUAGCCGGCCUGGGAGGGUGACCGGCCACAUUGGGCCUGAGAUACGGCCCAGACUCCUACGGGAGGCAGCAGUGGGGAAUAUUGCACAAUGGGCGGAAGCCUGAUGCAGCAACGCCGCGUGCGGGAUGACGGCCUUCGGGUUGUAAACCGCUUUCGCCUGUGACGAAGCGUGAGUGACGGUAAUGGGUAAAGAAGCACCGGCUAACUACGUG